rnacentral:rRNA from 1 species
UACAUGGGGUGCAAACGUUGCUCGGAAUUAUUGGGCGUAAAGCGCGCGUAGGCGGUUACUCAAGUCGGAUGUGAAAGCCCUCGGCUUAACUGAGGAAGUGCACCCGAAACUGAGUAGCUAGAGUACUAAAGAGGGUCGCGGAAUUCCCGGUGUAGAGGUGAAAUUCGUAGAUAUCUGGAGGAACACCGGUGGCGAAGGCGGCAUCCUGGACCGGUAUUGACGCUGAGGCGCGAAAGCCAGGGGAGCAAACGGG